rnacentral:lncRNA from 1 species
UUGGAGUUAAUUUUGAGUUUGUGUGGGUUUUGGGGUUGAGUAAAGGGGAGGGAUUGGAGUUUGGGUUGGAUUUGUGGUAUAACAAUUUUAGGGGAGAUUAUGCCUUCUUUUUUUUUUUUGGUUAUUUGACCAUAUUUAUUUUUUUGUAGGGAAUCAUCGAGACUUUGACGGCUAAAGUUGAGGAUUAGGAAGCUAUCAAAACAUAUCCUCCGCCACUACCACCACAAUACGCUUGUACUAGGAUUUUAUUAUUGUACUUUGUUAAUUUAUGUGUACAUUUUGAAUAUUAUAUAUAUAUUUAUUGGAUAAUUUGAUCACUAUUUUUCCUAUGUAAUUUUAUUUUGAAUAUGUCAAUUUAAAUUAAAG